CCGCCACCGCGCGCCGCUCCCUGGCUCCCUCCCGGCGCGCCGGCCUGGGUGUGGGGGGCGGCGGGCCGGAGGGGCGCGGGCGGGCAAGAGGCGCGCGCUGCGAUCGGCCCCAGAGACCCCGACCCCCAGCGGCAAGGGAUGUUGCUGGCCUCUGCUCUUGUAAGACUUCUGCUGCGGAACCCAGGCGUGAACCCUCCUAGGGCUCUGGAGAAGAUCCAAUGGGAGAUGCAGAAACUCUUUGGAAACCUUGAAGCACUCUGUAAAUGAAAAGGGGAGAAGACACAGUGAAAGCAGAAAAAUUGCAGCUUUAAAUCUUGUGUCUCAACGUGACUGUCUGCAGACUGGCAACAUCAGCAUCCCCUGGGAGCUUAUCAGAAAUGCAGCUGCUCAGGCCCACCCGAGACCUGCAGGAUCAGACCUGCACCAGAACAGGAGCCCCGGCUGGUUUGUACGUGCCUCAGUUUGCAAAAGCCGGUCUUAGAGGAUCCUGGGAGCUCCAGAUGGCAUCCCCCAGUAAGAGAAUGUAGCACUGAGGGAAAAGAAGAGAAUUUCUUGGCUGUGAUCGGGCUUAGGUCCAGGUCAACCCGAUUCUAAGCCCAAACCAUAUCAGCCUUACCUGGGAAGGGACACAAGCACCAGGGAAGACGAUAUACUAGAAGUCACAGAGGGGAAAGGACGGUGAUCACAAAAUAGCCAAGAGGGUCCUCCUGAGCUAUUAAUAGUUGCAGGGACCAUGAGGAAAGCCAGAAAUUCAGCAGUCUGUGCGCUGAGAGCAAAGCUGAAGAAACACUUCUGUUCCUGUUGACCGAAAAAAUGCGCAACCUAAAAUUUGAGAGUUCUGUUUUAUUUGGUGGACUUUCUGAGGACUCGAGCCCGGAUGACAGCCUCUCAGAUGGCUCUGAGGGUCUGCCCCAAAGAGGCACAGGAGGAGCCGAUAUACGGGAAUUCUGUUGCAAAGACCAGGUAGUCAGACUAUCAAAAGAUUACUGUUAAUUAAAAAAAAAAGUUAUCUCAUGUUUAAGAAUUUAGCGCUUUCUUAUGUACGGGAAGGUGCAAAGCUCUGGGCUCACUGAAAUUGUUCCUUCGGUGCGCACCUAGCUGUCUAGGGCCAGUGUCCUGUUCUUUCCCAUCCAGAGUUCCCUCAGUGGGCACUGUAGGGAGUGGCUGCAGAGCCCGGGCUGCCUGCUUGUCUCCAUCCUGAGGGGUCCUCGCUGUCAGGGUCGGUGGUGGCAACUAAUGACUUGAUGGCCACAGCAUCCUCUGUUUCAUUUUUUCAUUCACAUUCCUAUUACUGUGAUCCUGUUUGGUUAAAACAAGCUGCGCUGGGCUGGGGAAUGAGUGAUGCUUAGAAAUGUGGAGCCCCAACUCCAGAGGUAAGUUUAUGGAGAAGGAUUAAAAAUCAUCCCCACUCAAAGUAUUUGGCUUUUAGCAUCUGCAUAUUGCUCCAAUAUGCAAAGAAAGUUUCAUUUUCUUCCUUUUUCCUGUACCCAGUCUGAUCUUUUUUCAUGGGCUCCAGGUCUGCAUUCUAGCAGGGAUAAUUUGCACUUAAUUAAUAGUGUUUCAUUUUCCUCCAGCUCGAACGUAACUCUUUCACUUAAAACAUUCUAACCAGUAGCUCUUAAACUCAGAUGUGCAGCAGAGUCACCUGGAGGGCUCGUUAAAACACAGAUUGCUGGGUGCACCCUCCAGGGGUUCAGUACACUGGGUGGAGACACAGAAGUUGCGUUUCUAAGGAGUUCCUGGGUGAUGCUGAUAUUGUAGGUCCAAGGAACACACGAUGACAAGCUCUUAUUCAAAGUAGUCACCAUUUUAUUCCCAUCCAAAGGUGAUGAUUUCAAAACCAUCAUCUUUCAGAUAGAUUGAUCAGCCUGUCUGAUGGAUCGUCGGUCAAGUACAUGGUCUUCCUGCAGCUGAUAAGGAUGCAGCCAGUGGUAUAAGUAACUCGCCGUGAGAGAUUAACACACCUAAACUGGUCUACAUCUUGUUCACCAAGACUAGUCCACCGAUUGCAUGCUAAGAUGUCAUGGCAAUGUCCAUUUAUGAUAUGAAUUUCUAAAUAUGAACUUACCUGUAUUUCUCUCUCAGAACCACGUUUGCAGCUCUUCUGUAAAUACAGUUAUUUCCAAAUAAACCUAAUGAAGGGAAACCUUCACAACCUGGGUCAUAAGUGGAAUAGAUAUCUGUUCUAUGGAAAGAGCUUAUGGUCUGCAUCCACCUGCUUCAUGAUAUGAUAAAAGGGGGAAAGAUGGGGCUCGGAGAAAAUCUUCUCUUAACAAAUCUUGGCUUUCAAGUCUCUUAUCUUUUGCAGAAUAAAAUAUUUUAUUUUGGGUGUUGUAGGCAGAACAGUAACUUUUUCCCUUUCUCUGUACAAUCUUGCUGUAACAAAACGAAUCCCCAUAACCUGAACAGACAAUGAAGGAGGUCUUAUACAUAGACAGUAGAUUAAUGUAAAUUCCCAGAUGAUGCUUUGCUGCCAAUCUCUGAGUACCAAGAACUGGGGCUCUUUCUGAGUUAUCUCCUCUUCCUUUGACACUGUAAGCAUCGGGAAAGUGCUUACUGGCCAGAGGCUUAAAACAAAUGGGAAAUGCACAGUGCCUCUGUAAGUCCAGAAAUGAAGUAAAAGUUAAAGAAGAAACACAUUAAUCAAAAUAUGGCAUUAUUUCAUUCUUUUUAUGGCUGAGUAGUAUUCCAUUGCAUUUAUACACCACAUCUUCUUUGUCUAAUCAUCUGUUGGUGGACAUUUAGGUUGAUACCAUGCCAUUUGCAGCAACAUGGAUGGACCUAGAGAUUAUCAUAUUGAGUGAAGUAAGUCAGACAAGGACAGAUAUCAUAUGAUAUCAAUUAUAUGUGGAAUCUAAAAAAAAAAUGAUACAAAUUCUAUUUACAAACCAAAAACAGACUCAUGGACAUAGAAGACAAACUAUGGUUACCAAAGGGGAAAGAGUGGGAAGGGAUAAAUUAGGGAGUUUGAGAUUUGAGAAUGUUAACCACUAUAUAUAAUAAUAGCCAUUAGUGAAAAAGAAUAAGAAAAUGAAUAUACGUAUAACUGAGACAGGAUGCUGUACACCAAAAACUGAUACAUUGUAACUGACUGUACUUCAAUUUAAAAAAAGAGGCAGUGUUGUUUGUCUUAUCGAUACAUAUUAUCCAAUUUGCAGAAAAUAGAAAUAAUAUUGCAAACAGCAAAAGGAGAUCCUGUGUGCUGAUUCCUGUGUCCUGGUGGGCACACACAGUCCUGUUUAGGACAAAUAUCCCCUCCCUUGGACUAUUGCCCCUGCCAAACAGACCACUUAUGUGAUCUUUGGCUGUCUUAAUGUCUCUUUGGGGACCAAUAGUGUUUCUUUUUCCCUAUAUGCCAACUUUGUCUCCUUUACACUUGAAGAAUUCAGUAUUUGUUUAAGAAUAGUUCAAGAAUGCAAUAUUAGUUUAAAGGACUUUUCAACUUAGAACAAACUUGUAGAGAUUUAGUCACUCAUGAUUGAUGUUAGGCAAAUAGAAAAAAAAAAAAAAUGAAGGUUGAUUUCAUCCUCUGCCUUUCAGAACUUUAGAGGGGAAAGAAAGUAGACUGUUUUUCAAAACUGUUCAAAUUUUUGCAAGUAACUUAACAUUGCUUUUCUGGUUUUUAGCUAUGGAAAUGGGGACAUGUAUAUAUAUCAGCUUCUUUUUUCUUUAAGGACUUGUGUUCAUUUCUCUUCAUAUAAACAUUUAUAAUUAGAAAUUAUUGAAUUGUCAUCUUAAUGUUGCACAUGAAAUAAAUCUGAUGUGUGUAUUAACAACAAAGACUUAUGUUCCAAACAGGAAGGACUAAUUCAUGAAACCAAAUUUGAAGUUCAAGCAGAAUUGUUAUUAACGAACUUGUAUUUCCCUUCUUCUUGGCCCUUUUGGUCUUUGUGCAAUGUAUACAUAACUACAAAUAAAGAACUAAUGAUUACAUUUCUA